CAAGCCUAAGUACUCCUACAUGACCGAUAGUGAACCAGUACCGUGAGGGAAAGGUGAAAAGCACCCCGACGAGGGGAGUGAAACAGACCCUGAAACUGGACGCCUACAAGCAGUCGGAGGGCGCAAGCCUGACGGCGUACCUUUUGUAUAAUGGGUCAUCGACUUGGUCUAUCUAGCAAGCUUAAGCCGUUAGGUGUAGGCGCAGCGAAAGCGAGUCUUAAUAGGGCGUCAAGUCUGUCGGAUUAGACCCGAAACCGAGUGAUCUAGCCAUGUGCAGGAUGAAGGUGGGGUAACACCCACUGGAGGUCCGAACCAGUGCCCGUUGAAAAGGUCUUGGAUGACGUGUGGCUAGGGGUGAAAGGCCAAUCAAACUCGGAAAUAGCUGGUUCUCCGCGAAAUCUAUUUAGGUAGAGCGUCUCGUGAAUACCCAUGGGGGUAGAGCACUGGAUGGGCUAGGGGGUCCCAACGACUUACCAAACCUAACCAAACUCCGAAUACCAUGGAGUAAUGCGAGGCAGACACACUGCGGGUGCUAAGGUCCGUAGUGAAGAGGGAAACAGCCCUGACCGCCAGCUAAGGUCCCUAAGUUAUCACUAAGUGGGAAACGAUGUGGGAGUGCUUAGACAACCAGGAGGUUGGCUUAGAAGCAGCCAUCCUUUAAAGAAAGCGUAAUAGCUCACUAGUCGAGUCGGCCUGCGCGGAAGAUGUAACGGGGCUAAACGUAGAACCGAAGCUGCGGAUGCACUAUGUGCAUGGUAGAGGAGCGUUCUGUACGCCUGCGAAGGUGAGUCGAGAGGCUUGCUGGAUGUAUCAGAAGUGCGAAUGCUGACAUGAGUAACGACAAAGGGGGUGAAAAACCCCCUCGCCGGAAGACCAAGGUUUCCUGCCCCAUGCUAAUCAGGGCAGGGUUAGUCGGCCCCUAAGGUGAGGCUGAAAAGCGUAAUCGAUGGGAAACGGGUUAAUAUUCCCGUACCUUGGAUAGCUGCGAUGGAGAGACGGAGAAGGCUAGGUGAGCCGGGCGACGGUUGUCCCGGUUUAAGCGAGUAGGGAGUGGACUUAGGCAAAUCCGGGUCCACAAUCUCGAGACGC
rnacentral:rRNA from 1 species